rnacentral:lncRNA from 12 species
UGAGAGUAGAGUUUUAAUAUUAUCAUUAUAGCGACAACAAAGUAGCAAUUAUAUGGAAUAAGAAUGUGUUAACUGUUGGCAUUCCACAAUAUAUCCAUAUAUCAAAUUAUCAUAUUGGUACACUUUGAACUUACACAAUGUUAUAUGUCAAUUAUAUCUCAAUAAAGGUGGAGAACAAAUAAAGUGAAGGAAGGAAGAAAGAAGGAAAGGAAGAAAGAAAUCAACCAACCAACCAAACAACCCUGGUGCACAGAUCUCUUGGCUUUCCUGCUUUGGUACGACGGCAGAUCUCCUCAGGCACAUUCUUACCAAGAACCUUAUCCUCCAUUCCGUUGUCCUCCCUUUGAAGUCACCUGGUAAAACUCCAGUCCUGGGAAACUCCAAAUACAUGUUGUUCUGCAUUCUCUCUUCCUACUUUGAGGUUGCUCUAUACUCCUGGCUGAUGACCUGGGUCCUGGAGGUUAUGUUCCUGUAUACCACCAUUCUUCUCAUUCUUCAAUAAAAGUUAUAUUUUUUAAUAUCUCAUUGUAUCUUAUGUAUUAAAU